rnacentral:rRNA from 1 species
CUUAAGCAUAUCAAUAAGCGGAGGAAAAGAAACCAACAGGGAUUGCCCUAGUAACGGCGAGUGAAGCGGCAACAGCUCAAAUUUGAAAUCUGGCCCUUGUGGUCCGAGUUGUAAUUUGUAGAGGAUGCUUUUGGUGAGGUGCCUUCCGAGUUCCCUGGAACGGGACGCCAUAGAGGGUGAGAGCCCCGUCUGGUUGGACACCGAGCCUCUGUAAAGCUCCUUCGACGAGUCGAGUAGUUUGGGAAUGCUGCUCUAAAUGGGAGGUAUAUGUCUUCUAAAGCUAAAUACCGGCCAGAGACCGAUAGCGCACAAGUAGAGUGAUCGAAAGAUGAAAAGCACUUUGAAAAGAGGGUUAAAUAGUACGUGAAAUUGUUGAAAGGGAAGCGCUUGUGACCAGACUUGAGCCCGGUUAAUCAUCCAGCCUUCUGGCUGGUGCACUUGGCCGGCUCAGGCCAGCAUCAGUUCGGCGCGGGGGAUAAAGGCUUCGGGAAUGUGGCUCCUCCGGGAGUGUUAUAGCCCGUUGUGUAAUACCCUGCGCUGGACUGAGGUUCGCGCAUCUGCAAGGAUGCUGGCGUAAUGGUCAUCAGCGACCCGUCUUGAAACACGGACCAAGGAGUCGUCUUCGUAUGCGAGUGUUCGGGUGUCAAACCCCUACGCGUAAUGAAAGUGAACGCAGGUGAGAGCUUCGGCGCAUCAUCGACCGAUCCUGAUGUUCUCGGACGGAUUUGAGUAAGAGCAUACGGGGCCGGACCCGAAAGAAGGUGAACUAUGCCUGUAUAGGGUGAAGCCAGAGGAAACUCUGGUGGAGGCUCGCAGCGGUUCUGACGUGCAAAUCGAUCGUCAAAUAUGGGCAUGGGGGCGAAAGACUAAUCGAACCUUCUAGUAGCUGGUUUCCGCCGAAGUC